UGCGUACCUUUUGUAUAAUGGGUCAGCGACUUAUAUUCUGUAGCAAGGUUAACCGAAUAGGGGAGCCGAAGGGAAACCGAGUCUUAACUGGGCGUUAAGUUGCAGGGUAUAGACCCGAAACCCGGUGAUCUAGCCAUGGGCAGGUUGAAGGUUGGGUAACACUAACUGGAGGACCGAACCGACUAAUGUUGAAAAAUUAGCGGAUGACUUGUGGCUGGGGGUGAAAGGCCAAUCAAACCGGGAGAUAGCUGGUUCUCCCCGAAAGCUAUUUAGGUAGCGCCUCGUGAAUUCAUCUCCGGGGGUAGAGCACUGUUUCGGCAAGGGGGUCAUCCCGACUUACCAACCCGAUGCAAACUGCGAAUACCGGAGAAUGUUAUCACGGGAGACACACGGCGGGUGCUAACGUCCGUCGUGAAGAGGGAAACAACCCAGACCGCCAGCUAAGGUCCCAAAGUCAUGGUUAAGUGGGAAACGAUGUGGGAAGGCCCAGACAGCCAGGAUGUUGGCUUAGAAGCAGCCAUCAUUUAAAGAAAGCGUAAUAGCUCACUGGUCGAGUCGGCCUGCGCGGAAGAUGUAACGGGGCUAAACCAUGCACCGAAGCUGCGGCAGCGACGCUUAUGCGUUGUUGGGUAGGGGAGCGUUCUGUAAGCCUGUGAAGGUGUGCUGUGAGGCAUGCUGGAGGUAUCAGAAGUGCGAAUGCUGACAUAAGUAACGAUAAAGCGGGUGAAAAGCCCGCUCGCCGGAAGACCAAGGGUUCCUGUCCAACGUUAAUCGGGGCAGGGUGAGUCGACCCCUAAGGCGAGGCCGAAAGGCGUAGUCGAUGGGAAACAGGUUAAUAUUCCUGUACUUGGUGUUACUGCGAAGGGGGGACGGAGAAGGCUAUGUUGGCCGGGCGACGGUUGUCCCGGUUUAAGCGUGUAGGCUGGUUUUCCAGGCAAAUCCGGAAAACCAAGGCUGAGGCGUGAUGACGAGGCACUACGGUGCUGAAGC
rnacentral:rRNA from 1 species